rnacentral:rRNA from 1 species
AAAUUGAAGAGUUUGAUCAUGGCUCAGAUUGAACGCUGGCGGCAGGCCUAACACAUGCAAGUCGAACGGUAACAGGAAACAGCUUGCUGUUUCGCUGACGAGUGGCGGACGGGUGAGUAAUGUCUGGGAAACUGCCUGAUGGAGGGGGAUAACUACUGGAAACGGUAGCUAAUACCGCAUAACGUCGCAAGACCAAAGAGGGGGACCUUCGGGCCUCUUGCCAUCGGAUGUGCCCAGAUGGGAUUAGCUUGUUGGUGGGGUAACGGCUCACCAAGGCGACGAUCCCUAGCUGGUCUGAGAGGAUGACCAGCCACACUGGAACUGAGACACGGUCCAGACUCCUACGGGAGGCAGCAGUGGGGAAUAUUGCACAAUGGGCGCAAGCCUGAUGCAGCCAUGCCGCGUGUAUGAAGAAGGCCUUCGGGUUGUAAAGUACUUUCAGCGGGGAGGAAGGGAGUAAAGUUAAUACCUUUGCUCAUUGACGUUACCCGCAGAAGAAGCACCGGCUAACUCCGUGCCAGCAGCCGCGGUAAUACGGAGGGUGCAAGCGUUAAUCGGAAUUACUGGGCGUAAAGCGCACGCAGGCGGUUUGUUAAGUCAGAUGUGAAAUCCCCGGGCUCAACCUGGGAACUGCAUCUGAUACUGGCAAGCUUGAGUCUCGUAGAGGGGGGAGAAUUCCAGGUGUAGCGGUGAAAUGCGUAGAGAUCUGGAGGAAUACCGGUGGCGAAGGCGGCCCCCUGGACGAAGACUGACGCUCAGGUGCGAAAGCGUGGGGAGCAAACAGGAUUAGAUACCCUGGUAGUCCACGCCGUAAACGAUGUCGACUUGGAGGUUGUGCCCUUGAGGCGUGGCUUCCGGAGCUAACGCGUUAAGUCGACCGCCUGGGGAGUACGGCCGCAAGGUUAAAACUCAAAUGAAUUGACGGGGGCCCGCACAAGCGGUGGAGCAUGUGGUUUAAUUCGAUGCAACGCGAAGAACCUUACCUGGUCUUGACAUCCACGGAAGUUUUCAGAGAUGAGAAUGUGCCUUCGGGAACCGUGAGACAGGUGCUGCAUGGCUGUCGUCAGCUCGUGUUGUGAAAUGUUGGGUUAAGUCCCGCAACGAGCGCAACCCUUAUCCUUUGUUGCCAGCGGUCCGGCCGGGAACUCAAAGGAGACUGCCAGUGAUAAACUGGAGGAAGGUGGGGAUGACGUCAAGUCAUCAUGGCCCUUACGACCAGGGCUACACACGUGCUACAAUGGCGCAUACAAAGAGAAGCGACCUCGCGAGAGCAAGCGGACCUCAUAAAGUGCGUCGUAGUCCGGAUUGGAGUCUGCAACUCGACUCCAUGAAGUCGGAAUCGCUAGUAAUCGUGGAUCAGAAUGCCACGGUGAAUACGUUCCCGGGCCUUGUACACACCGCCCGUCACACCAUGGGAGUGGGUUGCAAAAGAAGUAGGUAGCUUAACCUUCGGGAGGGCGCUUACCACUUUGUGAUUCAUGACUGGGGUGAAGUCGUAACAAGGUAACCGUAGGGGAACCUGCGGUUGGAUCACCUCCUUACCUUAAAGAAGC